rnacentral:rRNA from 1 species
CCCUUAGAUGCUCUGGGCCGCACGCGCGCUACACUGGUCGAUGCAACGAGUUUCUUUCCUUGGCCGACAGGCCUGGGCAAUCUUUGAACAUCGAUCGUGAUCGGGAUAGAUUCUUGUAAUUUUUGAUCUUAAACGAGGAAUUCCUAGUAAACGCAAGUCAUCAGCUUGCAUUGAUUACGUCCCUGCCCUUUGCACACACCGCCCGUCGCACCUACCGAUUGAAUGGUCCGGUGAAAUCUCCGGACUGGCGUGAGUCGGAGCAAUCUGACAAACGCCGGAAAGUUGAUUAAACCUUACCAUUUAGAGGAAGGUGAAGUCGUANCA